AGAGUUUGAUCCUGGCUCAGAUUGAACGCUGGCGGCAUGCUUUACACAUGCAAGUCGAACGGCAGCACGGGUGCUAACAAAAAAAUAGCGAGUGGCGAACGGGUGAGUAAUGCACCGGAACGUACCCAGUAAUGGGGGAUAACACAUCGAAAGAUGUGCUAAUACCGCAUACGCCCUGAGGGGGAAAGCGGGGGAUCGUAAGACCUCGCGUUAUUGGAGCGGCCGAUGCCGGAUUAGCUAGUUGGUGAGGUAAGAGCUCACCAAGGCGACGAUCCGUAGCUGGUCUUAGAAGACGACCAGCUUCUAACCCUCUUUGAGACACGGCCCAGACUCCUACGGGAGGCAGCAGUGGGGAAUUUUGGACA
rnacentral:rRNA from 1 species